AGCAGCCGCGGUAAUUCCAGCUCCAAUAGCGUAUAUUAAAGUUGUUGCAGUUAAAAAGCUCGUAGUUGAAUUUCGGGAUCAAUAUGUUGGUCGUGCCUCGGUACGUACUAGCAUAUUGGUUUCUCCUUUCUGAAGAACCAUGAUGUCAUUUAUUUGGUGUCGUGGGGAAUCAGGACUGUUACUUUGAAAAAAUUAGAGUGUUUAAAGCAGGCUCACGCUUGAAUACAUUAGCAUGGAAUAAUGAAAUAGGACGUUUGAUUCUAUUUUGUUGGUUUCUAGGAUCGACGUAAUGAUUAAUAGGGAUAGUUGGGGGCAUUAGUAUUCAAUUGUCAGAGGUGAAAUUCUUGGAUUUAUUGAAGACUAACUACUGCGAAAGCAUUUGCCAAGGAUGUUUUCAUUAAUCAAGAACGAAAGUUAGGGGAUCGAAGACGAUCAGAUACCGUCGUAGUCUUAACCAUAAACUAUGCCGACUAGGGAUCGGAUGAUGUUAAUUUUUUAAUGACUCAUUCGGCGCCUUACGG
rnacentral:rRNA from 1 species